rnacentral:rRNA from 1 species
UACGUAGGCAGCAAGCGUUGUUCGGAAUUACUGGGCGUAAAGCGUGCGUAGGCGGUUUGUUAAGUCCGUUGUGAAAGCCCUGGGCUCAACCUGGGAAUUGCAGUGGAUACUGGCGAGCUAGAGUGCGGUAGAGGAUGGUGGAAUUCCCGGUGUAGCGGUGAAAUGCGUAGAGAUCGGGAGGAACACCCGUGGCGAAGGCGGCCAUCUGGACCAGCACGUGACGCUGAGGCACGAAAGCGUGGGGGAGCAA